rnacentral:rRNA from 1 species
UCCUACGGGGGGCAGCAGUCGGGAAUAUUGCGCAAUGGAGGAAACUCUGACGCAGUGACGCCGCGUAUAGGAAGAAGGUUUUCGGAUUGUAAACUAUUGUCGUUAGGGAAGAUAAAAGACUGUACCUAAGGAGGAAGCCCCGGCUAACUAUGUGCCAGCAGCCGCGGUAAUACAUAGGGGGCGAGCGUUGUCCGGAUUUAUUGGGUUUAAAGGGUGCGUAGGCGGAAUGCCAAGUCAGCGGUAAAAUCGCGGGGCUCAACCUCGCUCCGCCGUUGAAACUGGCGUUCUUGAGUGGGCGAGAAGUA